CCCGAGGUAUUAACCCAGACCGUUUCGUUCCGUACAAAAGCAGUUUACAACCCGAAGGCCUUCUUCCUGCACGCGGCAUUGCUGGAUCAGGCUUGCGCCCAUUGUCCAAAAUUCCCCACUGCUGCCUCCCGUAGG
rnacentral:rRNA from 1 species